UACGUAGGUGUCGAGCGUUGUCCGGAUUUAUUGGGCGUAAAGAGCGUGUAGGCGGCCUGAAAGGUCAGCUGUGAAAACUCGAGGCUCAACCUCGAGACGUCGGUUGAAACCAUCUGGCUAGAGUCCGGAAGAGGAGAGUGGAAUUCCCGGUGUAGCGGUGAAAUGCGCAGAUAUCGGGAAGAACACCCGUGGCGAAGGCGGCUCUCUGGGACGGUACUGACGCUGAGACGCGAAAGCGUGGGGAGCGAACAGG
rnacentral:rRNA from 1 species